ACUACGGUGGGCAGCAGUGGGGCAUAUUGCACAAUGGGCGAAAGCCUGAUGCAGCAACGCCGCGUGAGCGAUGCAGGCCUUCUGGUCGUAAAGCUCUGUCCUCAAGGAAGAUAAUGACGGUACUUGAGGAGGAAGCCCCGGCUAACUACGUUCCAGCAGCCGCGGUAAUACGUAGGGGGCUAGCGUUAUCCGGAAUUCCUGGGCGUAAAGGUUGCGUAGGUUGUUUCUUAAGUCAGAGGUGAAAGGCUACGGCUAAACCGUAGUAAGCCUUUGACACGGGGGAACUUGAGUGCAGGAGAGGAGAGUGGAAUUCCUAGUGUAGCGGUGAAAUGCGUAGAUAGUAGGAGGAACACCAGUUGCGAAGGCGGCUCUCUGGACUGUAACUGACACUGAGGCACGAAAGCGUGGGGAGCAAACAGGAUUAGAUACCCUAGUAGUC
rnacentral:rRNA from 1 species